rnacentral:rRNA from 1 species
GAUGAACGCUGGCGGCGUGCUUAACACAUGCAAGUCGAACGGAAAGGCGCUGCUUUUGUUGGGUGUUCGUGUGGCGAGCGGGUGUGUAACACGUGAGUAUCCCCUCCCUGACAUUGGGAUAACUUCAGGAAACAGGGGAUAAUAUAGGAUAGGAGCUCUUGCUGCUCGGUGGGGGAUGGAAAGUUUCGGCGGUUGGGGAUGGACUCGCGGCUUAUUAGCUUGUUGGUGGGGUAGUGGCUUACCAAGGCUUUGACGGGUAGCCGGCCUGAGAGGGUGACCGGGCCCCAGGGGACUGAGGGACGGACCAGAACCCAACGGGGGGCAAGAGGGGGGAAAAUUUCGCAAUGGGCGCGAGCCUGAUACAGAGACGUUGCGUGCGGAAUAAGAGGUUUUUAGUUAUGAACAGCUUUCGCAGGUGACAAGGAGGGAGUGACGGUAACGAGUAAAGAAGCAACGGCUAACUACGUG